GACGAACGCUGGCGGCGUGCUUAACACAUGCAAGUCGAACGGAAAGGCCCUGCUUUUGUGGGGUGCUCGAGUGGCGAACGGGAGAGUAACACGUGAGUAACCUGCCCUUGACUUUGGGAUAACUUCAGGAAACUGGGGCUAAUACCGGAUAGGAGCUCCUGCUGCAUGGUGGGGGUUGGAAAGUUUCGGCGGUUGGGGCUGGUCUCGCGGCUUAUCAGCUUGUUGGUGGGGUAGUUGCUUACCAAGGCUUUGACGGGUAGCCGGCCUGGGAGGGUGACCGGGCACCAUGGGACUGAGAUACGGCCCAGACGCGUACGGGAGGCAGCGGUGGGGAGUAUUGCAGAGUGGGCGGAAGCGUGAUGUAGCAACGCCGCGUGCGGGAUGACGGCCUUCGGGUUGUAAACCGCUUUCGCCUGAGACGAAGCGUGAGUGACGGUAAUGGGUCAAGAAGCACCGGCUAACUACGUG
rnacentral:rRNA from 1 species